rnacentral:rRNA from 1 species
CUCCCCCCCGCCGCCGUGAUUCGAGCCGACCCUCGCGGUGCUCUGAUUACCUCUACACGUGGAUAAUCUGCCCUAUGGUGGAGGAUAACCCCGGGAAACUGGGGAUAAUACUCCAUAAGUCAGGAGUACUGGAAUGUCUCCUAACUGAAAGUUGCGGCGCCAUAGGAUGAAUCUGCGGCCGAUUAGGUAGUUGUUGGGGUAACGGCCCAACAAGCCCGUAAUCGUUACGGGUUGUGGGAGCAAGAGCCCGGAGAUGGAAUCUGAGACACGAUUCCAGGCCCUACUUUUUCGCAGCAGGCGCGAAAACUUUACAAUGCAGGAAACUGUGAUAAGGGAACCCCGAGUGCCCGUAAACGCGGGCUGUCCCGGUGUUUAAAACACAUCGGAAGAAAGGGCCGGGCAAGACCGGUGCCAGCCGCCGCGGUAAUACCGGCGGCUCGAGUGGUGACCACUUUUAUUGGGCUUAAAGCGUUCGUAGCUUGAUUUUUAAGUCUCUUGGGAAAUCUCACGGCUUAACUGUGAGGCGUCUAGAGAUACUGGGAAUCUAGGGACCGGGAGAGGUAGAGGUACUUUCAGGGGUAGAAGUGAAAUUCUUGUAUCCUUGAGGACACCGAUGGGCGAAGGCAUCUUACCAAACGCUCUCACAGGUAGGAACGAAAGAUUGGGGGAGCGGAACGGGAUAGAUAUCCCGGGAG